GCACGGAUGGCCGAGUGGUCUAAGGCGCCAGACUCAAGUUCUGGUGGACAGUAGUCCGCGUGGGUUCAAAUCCCACUUCGUGCAACA
rnacentral:tRNA from 1 species